GACCCAAUGGCAUAAUGGUCAAUGCACUUGCUUUAAAUAGUCAAUUUGCAACUGGGUAAUUUCAGCAGGAGAUCCUCGUUCGAUUCGAGGUUGGGUCA